rnacentral:rRNA from 1 species
UAGAGUUUCGAUCCUGGCUCAGGACGAACGCUGGCGGCGUGCUUAACACAUGCAAGUCGAACGAUGAAGCCCCUUCGGGGUGGAUUAGUGGCGAACGGGUGAGUAACACGUGGGCAAUCUGCCCUGCACUCUGGGACCAAGCCCUGGAAACGGGGUCUAAUACCGGAUACGACCAUCUGAGGCAUCUCAUGGUGGUGGAAAGCUCCGGCGGUGCAGGAUGAGCCCGCGGCCUAUCAGCUUGUUGGUGAGGUAACGGCUCACCAAGGCGACGACGGGUAGCCGGCCUGAGAGGGCGACCGGCCACACUGGGACUGAGACACGGCCCAGACUCCUACGGGAGGCAGCAGUGGGGAAUAUUGCACAAUGGGCGCAAGCCUGAUGCAGCGACGCCGCGUGAGGGAUGACGGCCUUCGGGUUGUAAACCUCUUUCAGCAGGGAAGAAGCGUAAGUGACGGUACCUGCAGAAGAAGCGCCGGCUAACUACGUG